ensembl:lncRNA
CCUCGCGAGUCAUCACCAGAGGAGCCAAAAAGAUAUCACUACUAAAGCCACAAGGAUGGAUGGAAUGGAGAGGAGGCAAGUGGAUAGACACUCUUUCUAUCACCACAGCCCUCCCCCGCCCCCUCCCGCAAAACACCCCACCCCUCGUUUCCUGCGACUGGGGCCCUCAGCCAGGAACAGUUGCACACCCUGAUAAGCCCGCUCGAAGGGAAGCCUAUGCAUACUGGUAAUCAGCGAGCUGGAUGCAUGCAAUCAAGAACAAUUACAAGCUCUCAUCGUGUUUAUGUAGAGGCCCCUUUCAUGCUGCUUAAGUGAGGGGCAACUGCGCGAUUCAAGUCACACGGUUAAGAGGGCGCACCUCCGCCGGAGUUUGUUCAGCUGCUUGCCUGAAAGGCUUCGCAAACAACUGCAGAUGCCGACAGGCAGCGAUGUUUGGAAAAAGAAAAAAAAGAAGAAAAAAAAGGCUGAGAGCACUCGAAUGUUUAACAGGUGUUUGGGACGAUUGAGCGGAAUGCAUAUUGAGUAACCGAGGGCCGCGGAAAACAGGCAUCCGUCAAACCCGGGUGCGGACAGAGGAGCUUGAACACCCCGAGCCGUAUUCGUGGUAGAAACACCAUCAAUUUGGGGGGACAUGGUUAACUUCAAAUGUUAAGAGUCCUGUCAGGGCUGUGCAAACAGAUUCAUCUGAUAAUAUUUGCAAUUUUUCUAGGUAUGUGUCCGUGUAUGUGUGUUUGCAUGCAAUGUUGGUUUAAGGUCACGGUUAAGGUCACAGCAAGGCCUGUUGAAACCCUGUACGACUAGAAUCCAUUCCAACCACAUGUGCAGUUUUAUGUUUAUAUUUAAUUCUAUGUUGAUACAUAGUUAUGCACCACAAUUAUCGUUUAGGUGUUUGUUUAUUGUACACUUAUUUACUCAUUGUACAGAUAACUCCCCGUGUCAGCUUCACGAAUCAGACAUUCAUCUUCCAUCGCUGUGCUUUGAACGCGAGCAACAGAAACACAUAAAAACAGGGCGUCGUCAAGCGUUUAGCCUGAACCGGUGCAACAUGGUGCUUGCCGUACCAUUUCAUUUUAUAACUAGCAGCAUUGCUACGUUUUCAGUUUAACCUGAUGCUGUAAUCGUGGAGGUCAUUGAGAAUUCAUAGCUACUAUAAGAUUUUCAGUCAAAUGUGUUUAUUUUUGCAGGUUCAGCAUAUAAAUGUUACCUUUCGCGCGUUUAGAUGAUUGCAAUCAGUUGAUGAACGUUUUCUCAAAUACCAAAGCGCCGUGCACACUUUACUCUGCUUUAAUGACGUACGUUGCCACGGGGCCUUUGCACAGCAGACUGGAGCAGAUCCUGAAAUAGAAUUGAACAGAAUUGCGAAUCAGGUUUGAAGUUAGAUUUUAAUCAUUAGAUAGCGAAUGAUUUCUCUACCAUCUGUACAAUAAGUGGACCUGGUCAUGCAGCCACUGAAAGUGUGCUGGAAAUGGCUGAAGGACUUGAAAGGUGCUCCAUGAAUGCAGCUCCAUUCACCAUUUACUUUGCAAACCAUUUUAGUUUGAAACUAGAUACUAAAUAUCCUAAGAAUCCAGUCCUGAACUUCACCCUUUCAACUAUCUCCUCUCAUGUCACAUAACUGGCCGUUGCCACGAAUGCUUCGGCUGCCACUGAAAUAAUGAAGCGAGUGAUUGACCCUUGCGUGACCAAUCCAUUCCUGAGUGAAGCUCAUGGAUUUGGACCCUGCAUCUGUUGGACACGGCUAAUUGCAAACAGACUCACCAGGAUGAGAAAAGGGAAUGUUCUCCGUGUCUUCUGUAUAAAUGUCAGGCCCAACAAACGUCUGUGUUAGAUUACCGUGGCAGGAGUGAUAAGCAGAUGUAAAGACCCGUGGGGGUUAUUUAUUAUCGGGGGGGAAAAGCGUGGAGGAAAAAAAAGGGCCAGAGCACUCCAGUGAGAGCAGCGCUGCGGAGUAAAUAAUGCGCUCUCAUGCAAUAUUAUGUCAGGGCAGCGCGCCUCCCUCUUGGGAUCAUACACCGGAUUGGAUAUACAGCUCGUGCGUUUCUCCCAUCAAGUUUCAAAGUACUCAUGUAGGAACGAGGAAUGUGAAAGUUGAUAGGGGAAGCGUCAGAAGGUGCCUCUGAGGUUAUGUGAGAAGACAAACAUGUGCAUUCAUUGAAGUUGCUUUAUGUCAAACAAUUCCACGAAUAAUGUUAUAAGAAGUAAGAAUGUAUAAUGAGAUACUAAAAUGUGGUUCUGUAUCCUCUGUUUGCAGUGAAAUAGCAAUAUAGUUCCCUAAAAGUCACAUUAUGAGAAUUCUGCACACGGCACUUUAACUUAUUUAACUUAAUUUAUAGUUAACUUAUAAUAGAUGAGCAAUAAAGUAUAUUUUAAUAUCAAUAAGCAAACAAAAGAAGAUUAAUGAAGGCAUGGCAAAUAUGCUUAUAAAUGUGUUAUAGCCUUCUAUUAACUGUAUUAUAAUGCCAUUAUUAACACUUAUAUAGGCUUAUAAAUGUUAAUAAGCAUCUUGUAGGGACUUGCAAGGGCCUUAUUACCUAUUAAUUAAUAGUUAUUACAAAGACCUUAAUAUAAACGUUACCAAUGUAUCUUUUAAAUAAAUGCAACCUAUGUUUUUCACAGCAAUAAAACAUGGACAUUAAAGAGGUAAUUAUGACAUGUUUGAACUCCUAACACAAGAUCUAAGCAGCUUAAAAUACAUAACUAAAACUAUAUUCCAAUUAUAUAAUUAGAAACUCGUUGUUUUAUACAAAUAACUACUGUGGAUGACAUAACAAUGUAAAUGGUUGAAAUUUAGAACUGUUGAUGGUUUACACUUUACGUCAGUUGAAAUGAUUUUAAGGACCAUGGUGAAAAUAUAAAAAUAUAAUCCGUAUAUGAAUUAAUGACUCCUGUAUUGUGUUUAAACCCUGGUUUAAUAAACCCUUAUCUGUGAUUGAUUUGUUCUCACUCACGGUUGUGAUUGUGUGUGAUGGAAUGUUUUGCACUACAUUGUGUUUGGGAUGUUCCUCCACCCAGCUUUUCCUCCUCUGCUGCCUCGGGACCCCUUUCCCAAUGUUUGUUCAAUGUACUCUUGCUUGGAGGACUGAAUAGCGCUCAAAAUGGCGCGAAGGGAGAAAGAGCACCACCAGUCUGCUGAUGGUUGACACGAUCCAGGCCUGUUUUAUUGAGCCUUUGGCCACUGGGUGAACUUGCGGCCGUCACGCAGCCCUUGAAACAAACACCUCACCAACACGCGCCAGAGGAAGCGCAGCGCUCCCUGUCU